CCAACGCCCAGGCUCAGCGGCCGCUCCGCCCGGGAGUCGAACCAGCGCCCCAGCGUGGACCCUGAGCGCCGUCGGAAAGGCGUUAGCGCCCAGGGGGUCACAACCCAGCUUGCUGGAAGGAAACUUGGGGACAUCUGUAAGGAGAGGAAUAGGAAGGACCCGAGGAGAAGCAGUAAAGGAGGGCGUUGCGGAUCCUUUGGAGCCACGGACUGGAACUGCCAUGCAAGACCUCUACCAACUGAGGGUUUCAUGAGUGCACUCCCUUGCCAAGAUCUUGGUGAAUAGUCUUUCACUGUGCAAUUGUGUCUUAGACAUUGUUUUACUUGUUAUCAUGAUUGUGCUUGGCUGGAUGCUUUUUGUUGGACUUGCGUGUUACAUGGGCACAUUUCCAGAGUUCACGCCUCCAACUCUGAAGUGGAAAGAGAAGUGGCCCGUUCAGGAGAGCAAGACACGACUGAGGAGCCUGGCUUUGGAUGAAGAACCACAACUAUGAGAACCAUGUGGAAAGGAUAUAAGUAUCCCCCAGGAGGGACCCCGGUGGAAAUAAGCAAAGAUGAUCCUGGUGAAGUCAUGCAGCUCUGAAGCUCACCUGGCCUGCUGUAGAGUUCCUGUUGUUGGUUUCGCAUAAACUGUUACCAACAACCUUCUGUGGCCUUUUCACAGCUGUUAUCAAGAACCGAAGGCUUACACUGUGUGGGGGAAGGGAUGUCAUUUUAAUAUGAGGUGCUAGAUACUAAAUUAAACAUUACUUUAAUUCUUAUGAUAAGCUUCUGAGCUGGGCACUAGCCUCAUUGAACAAAAUGUUACAAAUGAAGUUGAGAGACUCAAGUAUCUUACCAGCUGCACAGCUCUGGGUUGGAGUCAAGAUCAAGAUCCAGGCCUUCUCCUUGGCAUGCUUUUAUGUGCCAAGGAAAAGAGCCAAACAAGAGACUGGAAUAUCCAAGAUCUUGGCUAUCUCUUGGCUCAAGUACCCCCUUCAUUUGAAUAGCCAAGAAGGUGCCUGAUGAUUCUUUUAGCAGUAACCACUGCUAAUACAGGGCAGCAUGCAUAGAAACAAAAGCUAAGUGCUCAGUCCUCAAUAUGAUGCAGUUUGAGUUUGAGACCAAGUAUGGAAACUUAAGUAUAAGACCCAUGCAAUUAAUCUAGGUGUUUCAGCCCUAGGAUAUUCUUCAUAAGCCCUCUCUAGGGAUGGUUUGGAAUUUUCUGACCUUAACGGGGUUGGGGGAGGGGGGAAGAACCCAACAAGAACAAGUACUUCUAAAAUAAACUGUAUGGAAUUUUUCCCAUUCUGUGGCUACUUGGGGAUGACUGAUAGUUCCAUCAUUCAGAAGUACAUCCUUACCACCAAAGUAGAUCUUUUUGGUUAUGUAGAUAACAUUUUGUUGAGGACCAUUUAGCACACAUUUGCUAAACUAUUUUUAAGUGGCCCUUUGCACUGAAUGGAUUGAUUUUUUUUUUUAUGGAAAGAAAAAUGAAUUCAAAAUCCAUUAGCAACACUGUAAUCCUGAAUCCAGGAUACUAUCUCUUAUAAGGCUUCUUAUAUGACCUAGACUCAACACAUCCCAUUGAGCUAAGUGCCUAUAUUUUCUGGCUCCAUGGCUAUACCAACUUGCCUCCUGAAUAUCCCAAAGGACUCAUCUUGUCAGUUAUUUCAAGCUCUUUUAUUACAGGGGAUCAGAACCUGUGUUCCUUUUCUUGACAAGAGGAACUAUACACCCAGUUCUUCUUCCCUCUGGUUCCCUGAAUAUACCUCCAAACAGUUCUCCGGCCUUCAGAGUAGCUCUCUUAAGCUGGUGGGGUGCGGGGAGAUGGGUCAGUUGUGGGGGUUGAGCAGAGGUCAAUGCGUCAGAGGGAAUGAACAGGUGUGUGUGUGUGUGUGUGUGUGUGUGUGUGUGUAAGGAAGCACACCCCAUGUCAAGUCUGAUGAGUCUACUGGGGUUUCUAGCUGGAAAAAUGUUCAGGGUGAUGAAAGAAGGAAUAUCUGAGUUUUGGUAAAUAAAUGCCAACCAGUGAAAAUAUCAAUAAAAUAUUUUUAAUGCCUACAAUUUCUUUUAUACAUAAAUUGCAAAACUUUCACCUGUAUAUGCAAAAGUAGAUUCUCUUGCAGGUCAACAGCACCAGAAAACAAGCUAAACUAUGUAAAUUUUUUUUUUUUAAAACUUGAUUUGUCCAUUAUGUAAAAGACAUGAUGGAUUUAAUAACUUCAAAGAAAUCUAUAUCCCACUCUUAAUCAUACACUAAACACCUGAAUAUUUAUUUUAUCACAUCCACUCACAAAAUAAAUAGUAGUCUAAUAUAUUCAGCACAUUGAAAAUAAACCAACCAGUUUCUCUUCAUAUAUUUAUUCUCUUUCCAAACAUGUUUUGGUCUCCUGCUAUAUCUCAGAAAUGUACUAAUAGCUGCUUUUAAGUUACAAAAUACAAAACAGUAAUUUCUUGGAGAAAAUCUUGGGGUAACAUUAAAAAAAUGAUAUUUCGAGUUCCCAUAGACUUUUUUUUGUUAACAGUCUUUGAACCUUCUCAUGGCACACAUGUAAGGCUGUCUGUGACAUGUGGUACCCUGGCCUCCAAAUGGACGUAAUUGCAUUUAUAGUUUAGAGAAAAUACAAAGACAAGUUUUUGAAAGUAGCCUUAAAAGAAGAGUGCCCCUUGCUUUGAUAUAGCAAUAUCAAAAGCAAGUGGGACUGUGCAAUCAGAGCCAUAUGAGUUUUAUGAAAACUACUUUCUUUUCACAUCAUCUGUUAGAGAAUGCCACACCCAUGAUCAUGUAACAUUACAAUCGUGAAAUAACAUUACUACAUUCGUGAAUUAACAUUACCCAAUAAAAGGCACAUCUUCAGAUAUUGAAUUAAUAAAAUCUGAAAAUCAAAACAGUAGAGGAUACAUUAAAAACCAAGCACUUAAUUUGUAAACCUUUAUAAAAUAACAGCUUAUUCCAGUUUCUUCAAAGGUUUGUGAGCUUUUUGUAAGAGCCGUCAGGAAUUGCAGAACAAAACGGAAGACAGGAUUUGGAAACAAGGCCAAGAUUAAUUUAAAAGACUUUCUCAGGACUUUCUUUUUAAAUGAGCUACAGAAGUGCCCUUUUAUAAUGUUGAUGCCGAGGAAUAAUAUAAUCAACAUCUGUAGAAGAAAUGCACUCAAAAGUGGUAGAUGCCUAAGGACACGACCUGACUCUUCCUGUGAAGUUCUAGAACUUUUAUCUAGCACAGUGGUGCCUUUCUGUACAAAUAACUGCACGUCGAAUAAAGUGCUAGUAAACGUUAA